rnacentral:rRNA from 1 species
UACGUAGGGGGCUAGCGUUGUCCGGAAUCAUUGGGCGUAAAGCGCGUGUAGGCGGUUCGGUAAGUCUGCUGUGAAAGUCGGGGGCUCAACCCUCGAAUGCCGGUGGAUACUGUCGGGCUAGAGUGCGGAAGAGGCGAGUGGAAUUCCUGGUGUAGCGGUGAAAUGCGCAGAUAUCAGGAGGAACACCGAUUGCGAAGGCAGCUCGCUGGGACGUAACUGACGCUGAGACGCGAAAGCGUGGGGAGCAAACAGG